AAGGAAAUCCGGAUCGUCAAGUGGACAAGCCGGUGGAAACACGCAUUGGAAAGGAGCGCUUUAAAGGAAAUAACAUAUGUUGCGUUGCUCUAAUUAGAGAAUUUAAAGCAAGAGGUAUGUAAACGGGUCAAUGCUAUGACCCGAGCCAGGUGAAUGUCGAGAGCCCCGGAUGAAGAUCAAGUGUCGAACAAGAACCGAACACGCGUUAAAUGAAGCUUCCGCAAGUUGUUUCGUCAUCUUUU